UGAGAACAAGAGCAGAGCCGGUUUGGGAUUCCAAUGAGGUUCGUCUGAGUUUAGAACUGAAGAUGUGCAACCCAAUUUUCAUAGCGGAGGGUUCAUUCAUGGUAAUGAACAACACUUAGCUGCUGUGGUCGAGGGAGAUGAAGAUGAAGACUGCACCAAUUUUGUGACGCAUGGAAAAGCUUGCAACAAUUGGACUGCUAUUGAUGUUCCUGUUAUUAUGUAUCAUUCUAAGUAAUUGAUUUUAUUGUUUUUG
rnacentral:lncRNA from 1 species